ncrna:Schistosoma mansoni type-P1 twister ribozyme
UCUGUAACUCCGCCUGUAGCUCUUCUAGAGUUACUGACGGUUCCAAGCCCGAGUAAAGGAGAAGGGUUGA